rnacentral:tRNA from 1 species
CGGGGCGUAGCGCAGUCUGGUAGCGCGUCUGGUUUGGGUCCAGGAAGUCGGCGGUUCGAAUCCGCCCGCCCCGACCA